GAGCUGUGUUAUAGCAGAUCAAAGUGGAUCAGGAAAGACAUUGGCAUAUCUGGUACCUAUAAUUCAACGCCUCAGGCUAGAAGAACUCCAAGGACUUGGUGAAUCUGUUUCAAAAAGUCCUCAAGUACUUAUCAUGGUGCCAACUGCUGAGCUGGCAUCUCAGGUUUUGAAUAAUUGCCGGUCAAUAUCAAAAUUUGGGGUUCCAUUUCGAUCUAUGGUUGCAACGGGUGGAUUUUCUCAGAGAAC
rnacentral:misc_RNA from 1 species